rnacentral:sRNA from 1 species
AAAUUUAUAAAACAUUAUUAAUAUUUAAACUUAUAAAAAGUUUGAUAUAUCACAAUUGUUUAACAUCAUUAUAUAAUAUAUAGAGUUUAAAAAAAUCUUAAUUUUUUCCGUCAUAUUUUAUGAUUCAAGUUUUUUAAAAUAAACAUAUAUUAACCAACUGGCAAAAAAUGUGUGGGUUCAACGUCCCGCAUCGACAAAAAUAUUUAGACAAUAAUUUAUAAACAUAUCAGAAAUAAGAUCAACAUUAAUAUAAAUAAAUGUUUUUUUUACGGGACGGGUUUGGCGGGACGGGUUUGGCAAGACGUUCUUAAUAAUAAUUGUAAAGUAUAAAAUAAAA